rnacentral:rRNA from 1 species
GGAAGGUGGGGAGUGACGUCAAAUCAUCAUGCCCCUUACUGACCUGGGCUACACACGUGCUACAAUGGUUGGUACAACGAGUUGCGAGUCGGUGACGGCGAGCUAAUCUCUUAAAGCCAAUCUCAGUUCGGAUUGUAGGCUGCAACUCGCCUACAUGAAGUCGGAAUCGCUAGUAAUCGCGGAUCAGCACGCCCGCGGUCCGAAUACGUUCCGGCCUU